rnacentral:rRNA from 1 species
UACGGGGGGGGCAAGCGUUGUUCGGAAUUACUGGGCGUAAAGGGCGCGUAGGCGGCCCGGUAAGUCAAAGGUGAAAUCCCUCGGCUCAACUGAGGAACUGCCUUUGAAACUGUCGGGCUUGAGGCCGGGAGGGGGUAGCGGAAUUCCCAGUGUAGCGGUGAAAUGCGUAGAUAUCUGGAGGAAUACCGGUGGCGAAGGCGGCAUCCUGGACCAAUACUGACGCUGAGGAGCGAAAGCCAGGGGAGCAAACGGG